rnacentral:lncRNA from 1 species
AGCACUCAACAAACAACAAGAGCCGACUUUCAUCCCAGAGACUCAAAACGGCUACGGGUUGUACGGCCAAAAGAAUAAUGAUCAGUUCCCCACCACAACCUCUGCUGCUGACGUCAAAUACGAGCCUUACACCACCCCCAUCACUAGCACCCCCACCGGAACCUUCGAACCUUACACUACUCCGACCACCUCCGCCGCCGUGCAAUACGAACCCUACACAACCCCCAUUACCAGCACCCCCACCGGAACUUUUGAACCCUACAAAACUCCCACCACCAGCUACAACAACCCUAACAAGUACAACUUCAAUAACAACAGAUACUAUUACAACAACAACGGUUUUCAGACAGAGCAAGAGAGGUUGGGUGACUCGAAAUUCCAAGAAAGUGG